rnacentral:tRNA from 1 species
GGAAGCGUGGUUGAGCGGUUCAAAGCUGUCUUGCAAACUGCCGAGGGGGCGACUCCUUCGUGAGCUCGAAUCUCACCGCUCCCACCA